rnacentral:rRNA from 1 species
GGGCGAAAGCCUGAACCUGCGACGCCGCGUGAGUGAUGAAGGCCCUAGGGUUGUAAAGCUCUUUUGUGCGGGAAGAUAAUGACUGUACCGCAAGAAUAAGCCCCGGCUAACUUCGUGCCAGCAGCCGAGGUAAUACGAAGGGGGCUAGCGUUGCUCGGAAUCACUGGGCGUAAAGGGUGCGUAGGCGGGUCUUUAAGUCAGGGGUGAAAUCCUGGAGCUCAACUCCAGAACUGCAUUUGAUACUGAGGAUCUUGAGUUCUGGGGAGGUGAGUGGAACUGCUAGUGUAGAGGUGAAAUUCGUAGAGUUUCGCAAGAACACCAGUGGCGAAGGCGGCUCACUGGCCCUAUACUGACGCUGAGGCACGAAAGCGUGGGGAGCAAACA